GCCAGCGUGGCGGAAUUGGCAGACGCACCAUUGUAAUGGUCUUCGUCGACGGACGGGGUGCCGGGUUCGAUCCCCGGUCGCUGGCA
rnacentral:tRNA from 1 species